UACGUAGGCAGCGAGCGUUGUUCGGAUUCACUGGGCGUAAAGGGUGCGUAGGCGGUCGGGUAAGUCUGACGUGAAAUCUUCAAGCUCAACUUGGAAACUGCGUCCGAUACUAUUCGGCUAGAGGAAUGGAGGGGAGACUGGAAUACUUGGUGUAGCAGUGAAAUGCGUAGAUAUCAAGUGGAACACCAGUGGCGAAGGCGAGUCUCUGGACAUUUCCUGACGCUGAGGCACGAAAGCCAGGGGAGCAAACGGG
rnacentral:rRNA from 1 species